CCAGAUGGCCGGAUGGCCGCUCUCCAUAGCCUCGGCGACGGAGAGAGGAAAGUCCGGGCUCCACGGAAAUACGGUGCCGGAUAACCUCCGGCGGGGGCGACCCUAGGGAAAGUGCCACAGAAAGCAAACCGCCCUUCUCCGCUAAAGCUUCGCAGGGCCUGCCCUCCGAAGCCUCCGGCGAAGGAGGGUAAGGGUGAAAGGGUGCGGUAAGAGCGCACCGCGCGACCGGCAACGGGAGCGGCACGGUAAACCCCACCGGGAGCAAGACCAAGUAGGGACGGCACGCCGGCCGCUUUGGCCGGCGAGGCGCAUUUCCGCGCCGUCGUCCGGGUCGGUCGCGCGAGGCGUUCGGUAACGGACGUCCCAGAUGAAUGGCCAUCCAUCCGCCGCGAGGCGGGGGACAGAACCCGGCUUACAGGCCAUCUGGCACA
rnacentral:RNase_P_RNA from 1 species